GUGUAUAUAUAUAUAUAUAUAUAUAUAUAUUUAUAGACAUACUGGAAUUCCGCAGCAUUCCCAGUGGUCCCUGCAGGUGCUGCUCCAGUCCCACAGCCCUGUGAAGUGCAGAGGUGCCUAACACCAGCUACCCCAGGACUGGGAGGAGCUCCAAGACCUUUUCAGAGAAAGAAGAGAAGCUGUACAUUGCAUAAGAAAAGCAGCAGAUUGAGAAAGCAAAACCAGAAAGAACACCGCCACAAGAGCUGUACACAACUUAACACUGGCCUAGCUGGAUUACAGUCACUUGUAGGAGAUAAUUGUUUGUAGCAGCAUGGGGAACCAGACUGGUGUGAAUUAUAAUUCAACAAGUAUGCUCAUGUUUAGUAACAUCCAUUGUUUUAAUUCCAUAUAAGAGUUGAAAGAGGAUUUCAUUGCUUCAAAAUAUUCACUCUCCACAAAUUUUUGUAAAUUUGGUAUGAUCUUAUAUGUUGGUGUUGAACCUCUCCUAAAGGAGAGCAUGUGCCUGCGCUCAAACACUGGGGAGUUAACAGGUACAUCAAACACACUCUGCAACAUGUCAUUUAGAAUACUAAAUAGUCUGUUUCUGUCACACUCCAUCUGAGUAAGCAACUCGAUGGAAGAAAUGUUUCCCACUUUGUAUAAUGUAUCCUACAGAACUGUAUCAUUAUCUCCAAGCAGCACUGUGUACUCGGGAGAGCUGCAUCACCUGGUGUUACAGUUCACAUUGAGAGAAAGCAGGCUUUCAAUCAUGCAUAACCAUGCCGAGUUGUUCUAUUUCUGCAACGUCAUCGAGCGUAUACUGGGUCUCUAAAAUUGUAUGGUAAAAACAUGGCAUGGCAUAGACAGUAUGCAAGGAGAAAUCCUGAAGGAAAGAGUAACUGGUAUCUGGCAACUCUGGAGUGGCUCAAGUCCAGAGAAAGAAAAGGAGCCAGUGCUCAGGAAGCCUACCUGAAAAUCAAAUUCUGCCUUAGUGCUGACACAGCCUCCUGCUUUCUCAUCGUGUGUCAAUGUGUGGGAUCUGCUCAGAGCUCUCUGUGAUCUGUGAAUUCUGUCAGAUAUGGGUGGAGGUGUCACUCGGAGUGGGCAGAGUGAAGGCUGCAGAUGAGGCUGGAAUGUGAUUGUCUCCAGAGAUACCAGAUCUAGGGUUUGGCUGAACAUCUGGUUCAAAGACAUGACAUCCCAGCAUAUGUUAUCUGCUGUGGGUGAGUUCCAGGCUCUGCCAAUUCCCAUUAGAUUUCCACCCAAAUGUUCCUGACCGUGAAGUUCUCUGUGAGAGAAGCAGCAGUGAAGGAGCACGGGGGGAAAUUGCCCAAGAACAUUCCACUGCUUGCAGGUCAUAGUUCUGCCCUUUUCCCACGCAGCCCAGAGAAACCCCUGGGGAGAACAGAAAGUGGGAAAGACAAUGGGAAGCCCACCUGCCACUGGAGGAGUAUCAAGGGAGGUGGAGAGCAGCCCAGCAGAGUGCAGGACACUCCUCUGAACCUUUGCUAGUUACAGAGACAUAAAGCUGAAUGUUCAUCUCAGAUGGCCAUGGACACAAGGAAACCUCUCUCUUCAACAGCAGGGAACUAGUUUGUUCAUUCCACAGAUCUCCUGAACCUUCCCUUCCCACAGCUCAGCUCACAUUUUGAAUAGGCAUUGUCAGCAUGGUUUUGUUAAGCAUAUCUUGUUUUAUGCAGGAUGAUGACUAAAGCCAGUGCACCAGACAGAGGAAGGUUGCUGGGCACCAGGAUUUUAGAAGGUUUUGUAAAUUUAAAAAUAUUCAGUACCUGGAAGUGAAAGUGCAUAAAGGGCAAAAUACCUGAAAUUUCACUUGCUAGUAACACUCUUCAACAGUGAUAAAGCGAAAUUAUGGUGCUGGGAUCACAAUAGGCAGUAUAGGAAUAUUUUAAUCUUAUGCACAGUGAAAAAUGUACAUCUGAACCUGAAACACAUUUGUGGGUCUCAUUUUAAACUGACUGUUGUCUGUCUGGAGCUUGACAUCUCUACUGCAGUUUGACAUAGGACUUUCCAAGAAAAGAUAUCACGUAGUUGUUUUACAUAGUAUUUUAAGGAAAGGGGUUCGAUUUACACAGAAACAGCCUGUAACUUAUGCCCUGACAUCCUUCAGACAAACACUUCAUGUUUUUCAAAGAUGACAUUUAAUGGAAAAUAAUGUAACCCUGACUUCCAAUAAAGUAAAACGUGCAUAUAUA